AUUGAACGCUGGCGGCAGGCCUAACACAUGCAAGUCGAGCGGAUGAAGGGAGCUUGCUCCUGGAUUCAGCGGCGGACGGGUGAGUAAUGCCUAGGAAUCUGCCUGGUAGUGGGGGAUAACGUCCGGAAACGGGCGCUAAUACCGCAUACGUCCUGAGGGAGAAAGUGGGGGAUCUUCGGACCUCACGCUAUCAGAUGAGCCUAGGUCGGAUUAGCUAGUUGGUGGGGUAAAGGCCUACCAAGGCGACGAUCCGUAACUGGUCUGAGAGGAUGAUCAGUCACACUGGAACUGAGACACGGUGCAGACUCCUACGGGAGGCAGCAGUGGGGAAUAGUGGACAAGGGGCGAAAGCCUGAUCCAGCCAUGCCGCGUGUGUGAAGAAGGUCUUCGGAUUGUAAAGCACUUUAAGUUGGGAGGAAGGGCAGUAAGUUAAGACCUUGCUGUUUUGACGGUACCAACAGAAUAAGCACCGGCUAACUUCGUG
rnacentral:rRNA from 1 species